UCGAAGUGUCGAAAUUUGAGGCUGGUGUAAUUUAGAUUGUGCUAUCCCAGAUAUUCCAUCAUUAUGAAGCCUUGCCACCACUCCUUCAAUCUCUGCAGUUCUUUGAGAUAACGUAGCGAGGGCAUUCAUAAUAGCAUCUAACUUAGACUCUGAACUUUCUGUCAUACUAAUGUCUUGACUUCCGGCCAUUCUAAAAGAAGGACAAAAAUGACCCUAUAAGAAGCAAUAUUGGUUUAUAGGAGGGUAAUCCACAACCUAUAAAACGCCUUAAGAAUUUCAAGAAGAGGGGUAAUCCACUCUCUCCAAGAAGAAUAAGACUCCAAUAUUAUAACAAAAGAAGUAUCAGUUUAGAAGAGGGUAAUCCGCAACCUCUAAAAAAUGCUAGUAUACCUUCAAGUAGAGGGAUAAUCCACACUCUACUAAGAAAGAACUAGCUCUGAUAUCUCAAGUUAGUGUAGUCUCGACAAACUGUCACGGACACAAAAUACAGACUUGAAAUCUAACAAAAAGUUCAAGAAGAAGUGGCAAAACUAGAUUAAACAUAUGAGUACAAGAACAACACCAGAAAGGUGAGCUAGAACUCCAAGAGAUGUG
rnacentral:lncRNA from 1 species